rnacentral:rRNA from 1 species
UAAGGAGUAUUGGUCAAUGGAGGCAACUCUGAACCAGCCAUGCCGCGUGCAGGAAGAAGGCCCUAUGGGUCGUAAACUGCUUUUGAACAAGAGAAAACCCCGGUACGUGUACUGGGUUGAUAGUAUUGUUAGAAUAAGCAUCGGCUAACUUCGUGCCAGCAGCCGCGGUAAGACGAAGGAUGCAAGCGUUAUCCGGAUUCAUUGGGUUUAAAGGGUGCGUAGGCGGACUGAUAAGUCAGUGGUGAAAUCUCUCGGCUUAACCGAGAAACUGCCAUUGAUACUGUUAGUCUAGAGUACAGAUGAUGUGGGCGGAAUAUGACAUGUAGUGGUGAAAUACUUAGAUAUGUCAUAGAACACCGAUUGCGAAGGCAGCUCACAAAACUGUAACUGACGCUGAGGCACGAAAGUGCGGGGAUCAAACAGGAUUAGAUACCCAUGUAGUCCCUGAGCGGGCUGGCAAGGCGCAU